AGUGAACGCUGGCGGCAGGCCUAACACAUGCAAGUCGAGCGGCAGCGGGUCCCCGCGAGGGGGAUGCCGGCGAGCGGCGGACGGGUGAGGAACACAUCGGAAUCUGCCUGGUUGUGGGGGAUAACGUAGGGAAACUUACGCUAAUACCGCAUGCGACCCUGAGUCGACGGACUGGGGGUGAAAGUGAGGGACCUUCGGGCCUCACGCGACCAGAUGAGCCGAUGUCGGAUUAGCUAGUUGGCGGGGUAACGGCCCGCCAAGGCGACGAUCCGUAGCUGGUCUGAGAGGAUGAUCAGCCACACUGGGACUGAGACACGGCCCAGACUCCUACGGGAGGCAGCAGUGGGAAUCUUGGACAAUGGGCGCAAGCCUGAUCCAGCCAUGCCGC
rnacentral:rRNA from 1 species